UACGGGGGGGGCAAGCGUUGUUCGGAAUUACUGGGCGUAAAGGGCUCGUAGGCGGCCAACUAAGUCGGAUGUGAAAUCCCCAGGCUUAACCUGGGAACUGCAUCCGAUACGGGCAGGCUAGAGUUCGGUAGGGGAGACUGGAAUUCCUGGUGUAGCGGUGAAAUGCGCAGAUAUCAGGAGGAACACCGGUGGCGAAGGCGGGUCUCUGGGCCGAUACUGACGCUGAGGAGCGAAAGCGUGGGGAGCGAACAGG
rnacentral:rRNA from 1 species